UCAUGUUUAAGAUAUAGUGUUCGUUGAUUAAUUUAUCAAGAAUUCUAUAAUAGUGUAAUGAAAGAGAUUAAUUGUUGGCUAUUUUCCUAAAUAAACAGACUUUAACAACGAUGAUUACCUUUGAUCAAAAUAAAAUAAAAGUCAAUUUUUGUUAGCACGAGACCAGUAAAGAGACAAGUAUCCAAAAAUGAUGUAUAAUGCAAUAUAAGACUUUUCUCUGUUACCAAUUCUUAUUGCAUGACAUAUAAUUUCUCUGUUAAGAUUUAAUACUUGUUGCAUGACAUACAAUUUUGUAAUCAACAAUUAAUUUUAUACUGUUCCGCUAAUUAGCCUCAGAUCAGCUAAAAAAUGUCUGUCAUCGGUUCUAACCUACCUUACCGUUUCUUUGUGAAAAUGGCAAGACACCUUGUGUGGCGAUCAUUUCGUUGGCAAACCAGAGCUCUACGGAAAGUUUCCCAAACCUCACACCUAGUUUCUUGUUUGACUUGGUGAAAUUCAACUGCAACAACAUGUCACCAUCAUCGAAAUAAACCGAUGAACCGAAGAGAAUGGUAUUGAGCUUUGCAUUAGAGAUGUCAAAAACAGGGCUUCUUGGACUGACGACAAGAAAGAUAAUCAAAGUCGCAAUCCCAAAUAAGAGAGAAUUAACAAUUGUCUCGUGUAAAGGAUGUGCUUCAAUACCGUCUAGCGUAGGCGUUGCAUGAAUCUUCUAAUUAGAUAAAUGUGAUUAGGACAUAAUCACUUCGAUAAGAGCUAUUGGCAUGUUGUGGCGUAUCUAGAAAAACGUUUAACCAGGUUUUUAUAUUUAUAUUUUU
rnacentral:sRNA from 1 species